CUCAUUGGGGGGUAAAGUUAUUUUUGUCCUCAUUGUCCCAUAAAACUGUGUUUUUUAAAAAAAAAAACUUGUUUACUUUUAAAGAAAACUAUUGGCUUGUAUCUCGAGUGUUUGAUCUUUGUAGCCAUCAAGAACAAAUGUGCGCAUUUAUAGUAAAUUCUCUAAGAUAAUCAAUCAUGAAUGACUGAAAUACAAACAGAUAUAUACUUUUAGAUUUCAAAACAUAAGCAUGGCUCAGACUAACAAAGUUGUUAGUCAUGAAGUAGCAGGCAUGCUUCUUGUUUGUCACUCUGCUAGAGCUGAAACAACUAAUCGAUUUAAUCGAUUAUAAUCGAUUAUUAAAAUAGUUAACAACUUUUUUAGUCAUCGAUUAGUUGUUUAAUAAUCAUAUUUUACCGCAUAAAGUCUAUUUUUUACCACAAUCUGACAUCGGUUACAAUCUGUUAAAUUUGCCGCCAGUGUGUGGCAGUAAUAAGCCACUGAUCUACCAGUGGGGCCGUAGAAGAAGAAAUUAGCCAAUAAGUGCCCUCGGUUUUCAUGACGUAUCACGUUACUGACGCGCAUCUUGCUGUGAGAGAUGGCGGAUCAACAACAAAUACGGAAGAAAAAUAGAAGCGACAAAACAAGAGAAACCCCGGACAAAAACCUCACGAGUAUGGGAGCACUUCACUAGAUGCCUUGAAAAGACCGGUGACCUACAAAAUAUGCAAAAACCAUGGCACGACGGAAGCACGACGUCCCUAAGUGAACAUUUGAGAUGAAAACAUGGGGGCUGAUGCAGCAGAGGAAAGUCCGAAAAAAACAAGCAACGAUGGACAACUACAUGGGGAACAAGACACUCACCCCCCAGCAAUGCAUACCACUUACAAACUCUAUUCUAGAUUCUACAUUAUUUUUUAUGGAAUUUACCUCUUAUAUUUUGAUGCCAAAAAAUUAUUCUGGACUGAUAUUUUGCACUGUUUAGCUCAUUUUACACUGCUGACUGUGGUCAUGUGCAAUAAAAUAGAUUGCAGUCAACUGCACAAUUC